rnacentral:piRNA from 1 species
UACACAUUAUAGGAGUUUGCAGCAGC